GACGAACCGUGCGAACGUUAUUCGGAAUCACUGGGCUUAAAGCGCGUGUAGGCGGAUGGGUGCGUCGGAACCUGAAAGCCCCCGGCUCAACCGGGGAAGUGGGGCCGAAAUGACCCGUCUGGAGGGACGUAGGGGGAUCUGGAACUUCCGGUGGAGCGGUGAAAUGCGUUGAGAUCGGAAGGAACGCCCGUGGCGAAAGCGAGAUCCUGGACGUUUUCUGACGCUGAGACGCGAAAGCUAGGGGAGCAAACGGG
rnacentral:rRNA from 1 species